rnacentral:rRNA from 1 species
GAUGAACGCUGGCGGCGUGCCUAAUACAUGCAAGUCGAGCGAACAGACGAGGAGCUUGCUCCUCUGACGUUAGCGGCGGACGGGUGAGUAACACGUGGAUAACCUACCUAUAAGACUGGGAUAACUUCGGGAAACCGGAGCUAAUACCGGAUAAUAUAUUGAACCGCAUGGUUCAAUAGUGAAAGACGGUUUUGCUGUCACUUAUAGAUGGAUCCGCGCCGCAUUAGCUAGUUGGUAAGGUAACGGCUUACCAAGGCAACGAUGCGUAGCCGACCUGAGAGGGUGAUCGGCCACACUGGAACUGAGACACGGUCCAGACUCCUACGGGAGGCAGCAGUAGGGAAUCUUCCGCAAUGGGCGAAAGCUUGACGGAGCAACGCCGCGUGAGUGAUGAAGGUCUUCGGAUCGUAAAACUCUGUUAUUAGGGAAGAACAAAUGUGUAAGUAACUAUGCACGUCUUGACGGUACCUAAUCAGAAAGCCAGGGCUAACUACGUG